rnacentral:tRNA from 1 species
GGCCUGGUGGCGCAAUGGUAGCGCGUUCGACUCCAGUAUAUUACUCUGGUUGCCAUCGAAAGGUUCCGUGUUCAAGUCACGUUCGGGUCA